CCCUUGUCUUCUGUUGCCAUCGGGUUAUGCCGGGCACUCUGAAGAGACUGCCGGUGACAAACCGGAGGAAGGUGGGGAUGACGUCAAGUCAGCAUGGCCUUUAUGUCUGGGGCCACACACGUGCUACAAUGGCCGGUACAAACCGUCGCGAUCUCGCGAGAGGGAGCUAAUCGGAGAAAGCCGGUCUCAGUUCGGAUUGUCGACUGCAUUUUGGCCUGCAUGAAGUUGGAAUCGCUAGUAAUCGCGGAUCAGCACGCCGCGGUGAAUACGU
rnacentral:rRNA from 1 species